GUGUGCAAUUUUUCCACAACCCAAAAAAACCUGUCUAGACUUUUAAUUAUGCUGGAUAAGAAAUUGACCAAGAAUGUUAUCUAAACAAAUCACAGUAAUUUCUUAGUGUUUAUAUGUCCUCUUUCUAUACAGAGACUGCUGUGUUCGGUCUGCCACUGAUUGUCACAACAACAAAUCCCCCUUGAAAGCAAGUCAUUAAUUACUAAAAGUUCAUCUUAAAUUAUGACAAAUUCUUUCUGGGUCAUUUUUAGUCAUUGCUUGCAAGCUGCAAUAGAUUUCCACAGAAGCUCUAAAGGGCAAAAUGGGAUGUGUGUGGGUCCCAGUGGUAAUUCUAUAAUAUCCAGAAUAUGUAUCUUUAUGAAUUCAGUAUGUUUCACUGAGCACACUCUUUACAAACCUGAUGAAUCGCUAUCACACACAUGCCGACAUUAGAAUUUAUCAGCCAGACGUACCUAUACAUCACGAGAGAUUUCAGCACCGAGGACAGAGCUCUUAGAGGCAGGCUAUUUAUCAAGCACACAGUACUUGAAAUAUGACCUAUUAUAAAGUCAGCACUGUAUAGGUCAGCAAGAACUUGUCCAUGUAUCUUGUAUGUUUGUCUUAUGAGACAAAGUACAUUUAAAACCAGUUACUGAUAUAGCUCAGGGGUUAGAAUUACAUUGUUUCAAAGAACGCAGCUGAGAUAAAUGGCAAAAAAAAUAGCCACACACAAAGAGCACUUUGCCAUAAGUAUGCCAAUAAGAACUUAUUUCUUGGAUGAAAUCAGCAGUUCUUACAUUUCCCUGCAGAGGCACCGUCUUCCAAAGAACAUUGAGGGGGCCCAACGUGACAUCCUGACAGUGCAUGUGCAACGUCAUACAACAUCCUGACAGCGUUCCAUGCCCGGCUCCAUUUUUGGCCUCAAUAGGGGGGCAGCCCCCUUUUAAAAAAAUAGCCUCAGCCCCCUGGAGCCAGUGCCUAUGCUUCCUUGUGUAAUUUACUAUAAUGCAGAAUUCCACCCAGAGUAUUCCUUAAAACAGAAGAAUUUACUCAAAUGAUCUAAAAUGCUUUCUUCCACAUAACUGAUACUUAAGUGAAGUUUUUGCUUGAAAGAUUCAAACCAUUAUAUGUGUGUCCAGGCACUUGCCUGAAAAUACAGAGGUGGAUUGGGGCAGGGGGCACGUGGAAGUCCUCCCCUCAACAGCCCCAUGUGCAUGACCCUACCUCUUCAGUCAUACAACAUUUCCUAUUUAGAGGUCUUAAGGGAGCUUUUUACCCAUGUUCACUUGAAUGCACGUAGAACACCUUUAGUAGUCAAGGACCUUACUUUAUCAGGCUCUCCAACUGUGUAAAAGGCUCUACUCACAUUCAGGUGAGCAUGAGUAGAAGCCCCAUGCAGAUCCUCCAAGCAAAAUGUGGGAAAUGUUGAGGACUAAAUAGGUGGGGUUUUGUUAUUUCCUUGACAACUGAUAGGAGGGUGUUCCACAGGGUGGGCACCACUUCCGAAAAGACCCUCUUUUUAACAUUCAUGCAAGUUUUUUGUAAUUUGGAAAUAGUAUCCCUCUGUCAAGAAUUAGGCACAAUGUGCUCCAUGCAUCACACGGUUUAAUACCUUUGCCUCUUACAAGCAUGAUGGUAACAUGGCUUCUGCAAUAAGUUAAGGAAGUUCACAGAAUGAAACUUUCCUGUUCACUUCAUCUGGAUUCCCACCAAAAGUCUUUCCGGAUGGCUGGAGGCUCUCCUGGACAAUGCAGGGCGGAACAUGGGGGUGUAGCAUGAGCAGAAGUGAAUCAGCACUAGGUUUGGCUGGUGGAAAGUUUUCCAUCCCUCCCCAGCACCCCCCCUUGUGCCCAUAUUAUUCUGAAGGGCCCCUCAAAAAGGGCCUUUGGGGAGCACAGUUGAUUGCAGCUGGGAAAAAGGAAUCAGAAAAUUUCCUUCCAUGGAUGUUCUUAGGUUAACUUAGGUAAGGAUCCAUAUAACAUUAAAAUGUUUCUACUUAGUGAAUCUCAUAAAUAAAUACAUUCUCUCAUACACUUUUUCUUGAUGGUUUUAAAUGGAAAAGGGCUAUUGUGUAUUCUUAAAGUUUUUAUUAAAAAUAGUGAACUGAA